rnacentral:rRNA from 1 species
UCCCAGACUCCUACGGGAGGCAGCAGUGGGGAAUAUUGCACAAUGGGGGAAACCCUGAUGCAGCGACGCCGCGUGAGUGAAGAAGUAUUUUGGUAUGUAAAGCUCUAUCAGCAGGGAAGAAAAUGACGGUACCUGACUAAGAAGCCCUGGCUAACUACGUGCCAGCAGCCGCGGUAAUACGUAGGGGGCAAGCGUUAUCCGGAUUUACUGGGUGUAAAGGGAGCGUAGACGGCAUGGCAAGUCAGAUGUGAAAGCCCGGGGCUCAACCCCGGGACUGCAUUUGAAACUGUCAGGCUGGAGUGCAGGAGAGGUAAGUGGAAUUCCUAGUGUAGCGGUGAAAUGCGUAGAUAUUAGGAGGAACACCAGUGGCGAAGGCGGCUUACUGGACUGUAACUGACGUUGAGGCUCGAAAGCGUGGGGAGCAAACAGGAUUAGAUACCCUAGUAA